AUGGUCUGUUCGACAUGUGGCGCAGCUCAAACCGCUUGUGGCGUCACAGUACCGCGAGAGCAAUUUCAGAGGCUCUGGCAGGGUGCUUUGGGAACGCUCUCGCGAUACUAUGAUGUCAUAUUCUGAUCGAUCUGCGGAAGGCAUACAGGAGUCUAAACAUAAUGACGUACCUUGUGAAUUUCCGUACGGAGUCACGCAGAAACGUCCUUAAACCCGCCCAAAUUGACCCAGAAGAAAAACCUUAUUAGUCCGCAAGUACCAGCCCAAGAGCAGGCAUGUUUGUGUGACGUAUUGUCCAGGGAUGUGUGUUGACGUUUCCUGUGCGCAGGUACGCACGCAAUCUCCGCAUGCCUGCACGUAUGUUUUUUGUUCACGCAAGUAUGUAAAAUUGAGGAAUUUAAUUGAUGCUAAGGUAACCAUUUUAAGUUAAGUAUGCUUAUAAACGUGUUGACCUAUAUGUAAUGAUAAUCUGGUGCUAUAUAAACGCUUAUUAUACCAAAUAGACAAACCGAGCAGUUGGCAUUAAUCGCUCUCGUUGGAACGUAAGCCAAGCAAUCUGCGCAUCCCGUCACGAAGCCGAACGGCUCUUUUCCUGAAAACAUUAACGUUAGCUUGUUCGAGUGUGUUUUAUCAGGUUAGGGACUAAACUCAAUAGAAAACGAAAUUCACGAGCCAUAUUUUUGUAUAACUUGUAACGUUAGGCAACCUAAGCAACUUCCUAGACAUGUUACUCUUCUCAACGCUGGGGGUUAAACCAAUAGGUUUUGUUUAAAUAGCAGCCGACUUUCCCCGAGCACUCGCGGAAAUGCACGAUUUGGUCCCCAAUAAAUGUAAGCCCUUAUCCGGUGAGCUUGUUAAGAAAAUGACAUUUAUUCUCAAUGUUCCUGUUAUCGCAAGCACCUUCGUGUUUUAAUUUCUUGUUUUACAUUGAGGAUAUGGAGUAUGAGAACGGCGCUUUGUUCUUUAUCAGUCAGGUUUCUCACUGAGGAGAAAAAGCGCGCCAAUAAAAUCUGUGAAUGGUUUAUUGAGGUGAUUCAACUACAAUUGUAUUUCAGUUCAAUAUUAACUGUACUUUAAUUAUUUGGUUAACAUGUAUAGGAUAUUAUUUGGUUAAGAUAUAUAGAAUAUUUAAAUGCAACACAUUUUAACAAUUAAAAAUCAAUACAAAGCCAAAUCUAAAACUUACCAACAACUUGACGAAUAAACUGGCACAAAGUAACUCGGAACAAAUUGUAAACCAAACACACUUAAACUGGAUGAAACUAUGAACGAAAUGAAAUGAAAUGCAAUGUAUACAAAUAAUUAUAGACUGUUAAUGAGAUAAAUUAAAUUCAAAGAGAAACUUUAAAGAGUAAGCUGCAGGAGAUAAUGGCAGUGGUCAUGUGACACAAGUUGCUCACUCUAAACGUGUGCCCCUCAUGAGCUGGUUGCAGGGAGUCUAAUGGCACAUAUUGAGCAGUUAUAGAUUUGAUUCGAUUUUUUUCAUGUUUCGAAGCUUUUAUUUUAAAAUUAACAAAAACUAAAAAUCGAACUUGCAUUUUUAGCAACUUUAUUAUAUGAUUUUGUCAUUGUAUUGAUUAUUUUUUAUGUUUCUAUAAAAGAUUUAUUCGUUUUAGUUUUGUUUAUUAACUUUAGUGCUCCAAACUUAUCGUUUUUUUCUGAAGCAACAUUUACAUUUUUUUUUAGUUUAUUUUUUCCCGUAAGUUUCAGGCCAAUAUUUUAUUUGAUUUCAAUAAACAAAAAGCUUUCAGAGUAUUCAUUUAAGUAAAUUAUAAGUUAUUAUAAGGUUGUGAAAAUAAAUCUGCAUCAUUAAGCAUUUUGAACUUAAAUGAAACGUUCGAUUUUUCGUCAAUCUUUUAGAGAAUAAGAAUUUUAAAUGGGUUGGGAAUCUCAUUAAGAAAUAUAUAUUUUUAUAUAUAUAACUUACCUUUAUGCAUUUGGCAGUUGCUUUUAUCCAAAAGCGAUUUGCAUUGCAUUACAUUACAUUAUACUUUUGCUCCUGAGUAUGUACAAUCCCCUGGAAUCAAACCCAUGACCUUGGAAUUGCUAUCUUCAUGCUCUAAACACUGAGCUACGGAAUGCAAAGCCUCUAAUGCACAAUUGGCAUAAUUAAUUAUUCAUACCCAUUUAUUCAAUACUUUCUAAAGCCUUCUUUUUUCCAAAAUAACAGCUCUUUAAUGCCUACUAAAGGUUGAAGAACACCUGACAAGAGACAAUGCCUGAUUUCCAGCUUUCCUCUUUAGUUCUCUCCACUCAUUUUCUAUAGGCUUCAGGUCUUGUGCUCAGUGACCCAUUUUGUUUUGAUGUUUGUUUUGAGAUAUUUGUCUUGUUGAUGAUCCAAAUUUGGCCCAUUAUGUGACCUCUGUUGAUAUUUGCUAGAAUCCAAGAUGCCAUCUAUCUGAACAAGAAGUCCAGGAUCUCCAGCAGAGAAUUAGGCCCAAAAACCUUCCAAAAACACCUUCCAAAAACAGAACUGCUUGUAAUCCCGGCUGACACGAAGACUCAUCACAACCUUUCCAUUCAACUGGGCUCAUCAACCAUCACACCUUCCAGAAAAGCAAGAAACCUGGGAGUGGUGAUCAUUGAUCAGCUCAACUUCACAGAUCAAGUUGCCAGCACCGCCCAGUCCUGUAGAUUCAUCCUCUACAAUAUCAGGAAAAUUAGACCCUUCCUAUCAGAGCAUGCUACACAAAUCCUUGUCCAGGCUCUUGUCCUGGCCAGACUGGACUACUGCAAUGUACUACUGGGAGGACUUCCAGCUUGCACAACCAAACCUCUACAGAUGAUCCAGAAUGCUGCGGCAAGAGUUAUCUUUAAUGAACCAAAGAGAGCACACGCCUCUACUCAUUAAGCUACAUUGGCUCCCUAUAGUCGCUCGCAUCAAAUUCAAGACUCUGCUCCUGGCCUACAAGACCACUACUGGUUCGGCACCACCUUAUCUUCACUCCCUAAUACAGACAUAUGUACCUGCUAGAUCACUACGCUCUGCAAACGAACGGCGUCUUGUGUUGCCAUCCCAUAAAGCCAGGUAUUUUCUUGCUCAUCUGGCUGAUAGUCGCUGGUACAUCUGGAGCUGAGAUAAGUGGAAUUAAAAGAAUUAUGGCUUGAUGUUUGGUCCACCCAUGGCUAUGGUGCCUCCAUCCCGACAUUUCCGCAACCAGUCCAUGAAUAGAGGGUAUGCAUGUGUCGUCACUUUACCACCUGAGCACGGGGGAGUGCGCCCCAACGUGUGGCAAAACACUCAGUAAAAUGACUGCUUGCAAAGGAAUCGGGUAUUCCUGGACACUGAAAUAAUAAAUAAAUAAUAGUAUGUCAUAGCGAUGCCGUAAGGAUCACUGUCGAGUCCAGCUGCUUUCAAUUUCAGCUGAUAAUUACGUGUUUUAGUCCCGGUUUCUUUGUUUCUCCUUGUUCCUCCGCCAUUUUGCUGCGUGUUUUACCACUAAGGGAAACAUGUCCUGGACCUCAAGGGGGCGUGUCCCGUGCCGUCAUUUUCACGCAGGAAAUUGACGUCUAUGCAUACCCUCUAUAGAGGACAUCAUCAGUGGCCAUUUCAAUACUUCAAGUCUGCGACAGGUCCAGUUGUCUAAUUAUCAGCCAGCCCACUACACUUCUUGGAUGUUUUAGCUGUGGAAAGUGGCACAUAUCCACCUCCCAACCUCCUCCCAGGAAGAACCAGUCUGUGAUCUCCUAAAACGCAUAGAUCGAACUCUGGCCAUCUGACCAUCACCCUACCUCAUCUGCAAACAAUGUUUCAUGCAUGAUCUGCAUUCUGUUGAUUGCAAAUGUAAUUUUAGUUCCCUACGAGCCUAUUAAAAACUUGCAUAGAGUUCUCUUAUUUGUGACUAUACACAUGGUGCUUUCAGACGUUGUAAUAGGCUUAACUGAUUUCCUUUUCCAAUUCGAAAAGUGUUGUGAUGAUGCAGUAAUAUAAUGAGCCGGUGAUCAAUCUCAGCUGUGCUGUGUUUGGAGACAUGCUGCCGUUAUGCAUUAAUAUGCAAUCAUAAACUGUAGGUUAAAACUAUUUGAACAAAUUAGUCAAGUUUGUUCACGUGCUUUGUUACAGAGUUGUGAAAAUGGCUAGGUGAUGGUUGUAAUUUUAAUAAAGGACAUUGUCCGUC